GACGAACGCUGGCGGCGUGCUUAACACAUGCAAGUCGAACGGAAAGGCCCUGCUUUUGUGGGGUGCUCGAGUGGCGAACGGGUGAGUAACACGUGAGUAACCUGCCCUUGACUUUGGGAUAACUUCAGGAAACUGGGGCUAAUACCGGAUAGGAGCUCCUGCUGCAUGGUGGGGGUUGGAAAGUUUCGGCGGUUGGGGAUGGACUCGCGGCUUAUCAGCUUGUUGGUGGGGUAGUGGCUUACCAAGGCUUUGACGGGUAGCCGGCCUGAGAGGGUGACCGGCCACAUUGGGACUGAGAUACGGCCCAGACUCCUACGGGAGGCAGCGGUGGGGAAUAUUGCACAAUGGGCGGAAGCCUGAUGCAGCAACGCCGCGUGCGGGAUGACGGCCUUCGGGUUGUAAGCCGCUUUCGCCUGUGACGAAGCGUGAGUGACGGUAAUGGGUAAAGAAGCACCGGCUAACUACGUG
rnacentral:rRNA from 1 species